UAAGUGUCACCCAACAACAUUGUAAAGCAGGAGCGCCUACUGAUACCAUGUCAACCGUGACGGGUGCAGGGAAAAAUAAAAAAUAAAGUUUUUUUUGUGUGUGUUAUAUUUUAUAUUUAAUGUACACUACAGCCUAUCAUGAGUCCUUUCCUGUGCACCCUAUCAGUCUCUUAAACACAUCCACAAAAAAAUGUAUUUAAAAAAAAGGGAUAAAAAACAACAGGUCACGUUUGACCUACGGUUGCGCGCGACAUGCAUAACAGGAAGUCGCCAGCUGUCAACAGUAGAAGCUAGCAAGCGUCAGAGCGGUCACGCACUCCCAAACGUUAACAUGGCUGAAGGGAAACGAGCCAAGACCUGUCAUUUUCACCCUGAAUAGGAGGACGAACAUUUUUUAGUUCAUAGUCAUUCAAAGCCGGUUUGUUUGAUCUGCAAUGCAACGGUGGCGUAGGCAAAGAAAGGGAAUCUGGAGCGGCAUUUUAAAACGCUACACGGGAGCUACGAGAGGGAUUUCCCUGAAAAAAACAAACAAAAACAAAACAAAACAAAAAACGCCUUUACGCGGCUCAAACGUGCGGGAUUUGAAAGCACAGCUUGCAGCACGGCAGUCAAUCUUCACCAAACCGAAGGCCGCAGCUAUUGCUUGCUAUCGCGUCAGUCACGUCCUUGCUAAACACAAGAAGGCAUUCAAAGACGGCGAUAUUGUGAAGGACGCCUUUGUCGAGGCAGCGGAUAGCCUUUUUGACGACUUUAAAAAUUAAACAGAGAUCGUGAAGGCCAUUUAAGAAGUGCAACUCUCCCGCAAUACCGCUACAAGGCGAUUUUAGGGAAUGGCUGUGGAUGUGGAGGAGCAACUGAAGAAGGAUAUUGACGUGUGUGAGUGCUUUUCCCUUCAAUUUGACGAAUCGACUGAUAUGGUGGAUGUGGCACAAUUGUGUGUUUUCAUCUGGGUAAAGAUGUAGUCAACAUGAUGAGCUCAGUGAACACGUUUAAAAGCAAGCUGCAGCUGAUGUCAAGCAGGCUGCAGAUGGUGACCUGCACAACUUCCCUCACAUGCAAACAGAACUACAGCGUCAAGGUAAAAGUGUGACACAGCUUGACAGUGCAUUAUGAGGAGCAUGUUCAGAGCAUCUGGUCAGAGUUUGAGAGGCGUUUUGCUGACUGCAUCCAUGGAGCCUGUAGGCAGCUAUAUGUGUUAUCCAUUUGGUGCAAGUAUUGAUGUUGGUGACAUUGCCACCAAAGUCAAAUCAGUUUUUGCCUUGGAAAGCUCCGCUCUUGAGGAUGAGAUUCUGACAAGACUCUGCAAAAUGACAUUGAGAUCAAAGCCAGAUCAACCUGGUGAGCAUGCAUUGUUCUGGAAACUACUGAUGGAGGAGAAGUAUCCCAAUCUCAGAAGAUGUGCCUUGAACCUGACGGCUCUUUUUGGAUCAACUUAUUUGAGCGAGUCUGCUUUCUCGCACAUGAAAAUCAUCAAGUCCAAGUACAGAUCAACAAUGACUGACGACCACCUUGCAGCCUGCCUAAGCCUUGCAACCAGCUCCUACACUCCUGACUAUGAGAAGCUAGCCUCCACCUCCCAGUGCCAUGUCUCCCAUUAAGCGGGACACACGCAGGUUAGCAAAUACACUGGUACAGAGUCUAAGCCUACAGUAAUGACAGUCUCCCCUUCUGCUGCGCCAUCACCAUCUGGUUCGAGGCGAGUAUGCUGUUCAUCAGUGUUCACAAUCUGUUUGCUGGUUCGGGCCUCCUACCCAACUGUUUCCCAACAGUUAGCAAACAGCCCCACACUCCAGGAAGCACCACAGACCUGGACAGAACCGCUAAAUAAACACAAACCAGUCUUCCACUGGAAACUCUGUAUCUCCAUCUUUCCAGCUGCUGAGCCCACUACCUUCUGGAGUGAGGCUAAUUGUACAGGUCAGUGGUGAAGACACAGCGAUGCUAACAGGUUUACUAAAUGGAUGUAAAUGCAACCUCAAUGCCAGGUGAGAAUUUAAGUGUACUAGAAUUAAUCAAAAGUUAAAGCUAGUGCAAGAAGUACAGGAGGUCUUCCCACCAUCAUUACCAGAUGGACCGCCCCAGGGAGGAGGAGAGUUGGAACAAGAGCCAAGCUAAUACAUCUUGGUUUAAAGCCUGCUCCUGGCUAAUAUCUGGUUGCAGGGAAAGGAAAUAGACGAAUGGAACUCAGGCUGGCCAAACAAUGUGAAAUGAGAGUCCGUUGUGACCAAAGAGACCCGUCCCCGCCACAGCAUCUGAGAUCAAGCUGUUCGAUCCGCAGAUGGCCCACGUUCCGGGUUGACAGAGCACAGGACAACAGUGGGACAAGAAGAGGUGGACUCUGUGUUUACAGCAUUGAUGCUUGGUGCUGAGUCAAAAUUCGCGGACAGUGUUUCUCUGAUUUCAAGCUUUUGAUGUGAAGAUGCUAACCACAUUAUCAUUGUCAUAUUGCUGCUGUAAACAAUCACCCCAAUGUAACUUGCACUGUUUAUGUAUAUUUGUAAAAAAAUAACUGUAGUAUGUUAUGUUAUUUAGCAAAAAGGCGUUAAUGAGCUUCCAUUUAAUCACAGAUCGUGUAUAUAUGCAUUUAUGUCUAUGUGGGUGUGUGUACGUAUAUUAUAAUGCUUAGGUGACAGGUUUGAUCUUAUGUAAUGUCCUUGGGGGAGAAUUGCUACCAUUUUUUUUCCUGCAUUGUGUGUGAAUGACAAAAGAAACUUAACAUAUCACAAAAGGUAUUGUUUGUGUAUCGAAUGCUCCAGAGAUGCAUUCCAUUUCCAUUCCCCAUAAUCAUCCACAGCUUCUUGCUUCCCUCCUACAUGAAGAACAUUAAUAUGUGGUUUUAUGUCCAUUCCCAUGGCCACAACACAGACCUCCUCUUACUCUUCAAACCAAAGAAAUUAUAUGACACAAUCCACCUCAUGAAGCAGAACAGAGGUCCACUAUACAUUAUUGUCUCAUGUAAAUCCCUACAGGGUUGCAAUAACACAGUAUAUACCUCCACUCCAUCAG